CGGACGAACGCUGGCGGCGUGCCUAACACAUGCAAGUCAACUUGACUGAAGGAGCAAUCUGACAGUAGAGUGGCGCAAGGGUGCGUAACGCGUAAGUAACUUGCCCCAAGGUAAGGAAUAACGUCGAGAAAUCGGCGCUAAUACCUCAUAAUGCAGCGGAUCCGCAUGGAUAUGUUGUUAAAGGUUUAUCGCCUUGGGAUAGGCUUGCGUCUGAUUAGCUAGUUGGUGUGGUAACGGCACACCAAGGCUACGAUCAGUAACUGGUCUGAGAGGAUGAUCAGUCACACUGGAACUGAGACACGGUCCAGACUCCUACGGGAGGCAGCAGUGAGGAAUAUUGGGCAAUGCUCGAAAGAGUGACCCAGCAACGCCGCGUGGAGGAUGAAGGUAUUCUAUAUCGUAAACUCCUGUGAGAGCAGACGAAAGACAGAUUAUUAAUCUGGAUGACUGUAUGCUCAGAGGAGGCCCCGGCUAACUACGUG
rnacentral:rRNA from 1 species